AACGAACGCUGGCGGCACGUUUUAAGCAUGCAAGUCGAAUGGCAGUGGGGGCAACCCCAUGAGAAUGGCGAACGGGUGAGUAACACUUAGGUGAUCUGCCUGACGGAUGGGGAUAGCUUGUGGGAACACAGGGUAAUACCGAAUGAGCUGACGAGACUUUGGUUUUGUUAGUAAAGGUGCUACGGCACCGCCGACAGAGGAGCCUGCGGCUGAUUAGCUAGUUGGUGGGGUAAAGGCCUACCAAGGCGACGAUCAGUAGCCGGCCUGAGAGGGUGUACGGCCACACUGGAACUGAGACACGGUCCAGACUCCUACGGGAGGCAGCAGCUAAGAAUCUUCCGCAAUGGGCGAAAGCCUGACGGAGCGAUGCCGCGUGAUCGAUGAAGGUCGAGAGAUUGUAAAGAUCUUUUCUACAUGAGGAAUAAGUCUGGGAGGGAAUGCCUGGAUGAUGACGUUAGUGUAGGAAUAAGCCCCGGCUAAUUACGUGCCAGCAGCCGCAGUAA
rnacentral:rRNA from 1 species